UACGAAGGGGGGCUAGCGUUGUUCGGAUUUACUGGGCGUAAAGCGCACGUAGGCGGACUAUUAAGUCAGGGGUGAAAUCCGGCAGCUCAACUGUCGAAGUGCCUUUGAUACUGAUUUGCUCGAGGGAGAUAGGGGUCUGUGGAACUUCUGGUGGAGCGGUGAAAUGCGUUGAUAUCUGGAGGAAUACCGGUGGCGAAGGCGGCAUCCUGGACCGGCAUUGACGCUGAUGAGCGAAAGCUAGGGGAGCAAACGGG
rnacentral:rRNA from 1 species